GCUCCACGUUUUCCCGCCCCUAAAACCCUUCCCCAACAUCUUGCUUCCCGUUUUCUCUCUCUUCUUCUUCGUAGACAAGGCAUUUUUCUCUUUGCCCCAUUGAUUUACAUCUCUGCAGUCCUUUUUUACAUCAAUACUCUCGACUUUCACAGCCUUCCACCUCCUCAUUAUGCACCACCUGGCUCUGUUUACCGUAGCCCGCAA
rnacentral:misc_RNA from 1 species